AAACCAAUUUAAUUUGGCAGUAUUUAAUCUAAUUAGAGGAAUUUGUCCUUUAAUCGAUAAUCCACGUUAAAUUUCACUUUAAUUUAAUACUUAUAUACCUCCAUUUUAAGAAUUAAUUUAGAAAUAUUUCUCUUGAAAAUAAAUAAAAAAUUAGGUCAAGGUGUAAUUUAUAUUAAAGAAUGAGAUGAAUUACAUUAAAAAAAAUUUAAAGAUUAUUAAUAAAUAUAUUUAUUUAAAUAAGAAUUUAAAAGUAAUAUUUUAAUAAUAUUAUAAUAUGAUAUAGAAAACAAAUAUGUACACAUCGCCC
rnacentral:rRNA from 1 species